rnacentral:lncRNA from 1 species
UGUGUGUGUGAUAUAACUUUUUACCACUGUAGAAUAACGACACAAUAUUGAUGUAUCUAAUACAAUAACAAAAAAAUUGCAAAUUAAUUCAUUUUUAAUAAUAAAAAUUUUGGUUUGCAAUUUCUGGUACAUUAGAAUUCAGAAUUAAUUUUGAGAAAACACAAACCUGUAAUGCUUAUUCAAAAUUAAGAAUGUUUUUUAGAAUAUAUAUCCCUUCAAGAAUUCUAUUAAUAAGUUUUGUUGAUUUAUUUUAAAUUCUUUAAUUUUGAUGGAACGUUACAACAAAAUUCAUCCAAUCAACAAACUUCAAGGACAGACGGAAAAAAUUAGCCAAUAAGAAAAUUUCGAGGUCAGACACAAAUGUUUUUAUAUAGCAUAGAUAUAUAAUUAGAAAGAGAGGGAGGUGUGUUUUCAGAGAG